rnacentral:antisense_RNA from 1 species
CUUCAACGAGCCCAGCCACAGUGGGUCCCGUCCCUCGGGCCGGUCCUGACCAUAGGUCGCGAGCAGAGCCUGCGCCUC